GCUCCGGAGUAGCCAAGAGAUAUUGUGUGUGUUACUCGUAGAUGUUUCUACUUCUUCAGAAGACAGAAAUUUAAGGUUACUGUGUUCGCAUGCUAUCAAUGAUAUACAAGAUGCCUCAGUUGGUCUAGGACUUCAAGUUAUAAGGCUACAUUUUAAGGAGGGCACAGAGUACAAUUUCAUAAGAGGGAGGAUCGAGAAAACAACAGUUUUACUCAAAAUCAUUAAAAUCUAGGAUUCUCAAGCUACGGAACCUAUAUGUUCUUUGGGAAGGGAAAAUAUACAAAUGGAAAUGUUUGAGAAAGAAAUAUGUGGUGGUAUGUAGCUGAAUAUAUUCCUGUAUAGUGUUAUCCAGUUUCAGAGCAGCACUCUUGGAGUAGAAUUAUAUGUAUAAAGUGCACGUUAAAGCUGGAGAGAAGAAGGUGCUUGAGAAUAAGAUUCAGCGGUGGUGAAAAUGUCUGAAGCGUUAAAGCUUCAGCAGGACGAAGCAGCGAAGGGAUGGAGAAAACAGACAGCACCGGAGGAGGAGGAGCAAGACAGUUCACCGGUCCUGUAAUGGAGGAUGAAGUUGUGAAACUUACACAGCACGCGAGGGCUAUUAGAGAUGUGGAAGAUGAGGAACUAAGAAGAUUUUUCUUCGGAAUGUCUCCAUGGCAGGUGAG